rnacentral:tRNA from 1 species
GGGGAUGUAGUUCAGUGGUAGCUUGCUUGUUUAGCAUAUACAAGGCCCUGGGUUCAAUCCCCAGUAUCUCUC